GUCUUGGUAGCUCAGUUGGCAGAGUAGUGGGAUAGUACUCCACGGUCUCGGGUUCAAGUUCCGGCCGACACU